CAUAACCUGAGCCGAAGUCGGCCGCCCAACCGACUGAGCCACCCAGGCGCCCCUCGUGUCUUCUUUAUUCCCUACUCCGGGCUGGAGAGGCUGCCCAGUGCAGAUGGAAGAGAGCAAGGGCAGAAUCAUCCUGGGGCUCUUACAGCUUCUGCUCAGAUGUGGCACAAACCAUCUCUGUUCAAAUUCCAUUAGUUGAAGCAAGCAACCUGGGGCUGAGCCCAGUGUGGGGCUUGAAUUCACAAAGUGUGAAAUCACGACGCGAGUGGACAGCAAGAGUCAGGUGCUUUGCCAACGGAGCCACCCCAACGCCCCUGUUGCUAUGUUAAUUUUAAACAACUAUUGCUCCGAGGUUUUUGAGAUUCCUGGAUCUGAAACAAACACAGACACAGCCAGCUACCCUGCCCCAGCAAGGCGCAAUCAGUGAACGGGGCCCAGGCCUCAUUUCCGGGCCCUGCACCUUGGCUCCACCUUUGUAAAGAGGUGGGGAGGGGGCCGUGUCGCCAUGCAGGCCCUGGGGUCCCGCCGGCCUGCCUUUACCCCUCUUGAAGGUGAUGCAGCUUUGGAGAAGCCCUUACCCGGGGAGCCGAGCCGCAGCUGGGAGGCGAAUGUGGAGACCGAGCUGACUCCAGGCAGAGGCCAUCCUGCCCCACCGCGCCCUACCCGCCCCCACCCCCAUGAAAUGAGCGACACUCAAGACUUUGCCACUUUCCCCGUGGUUGCCACCCAGGUGAAGCUGGGGGGCUGGAGCCGUCAGGGUGGGGGCAGCGUGUCUCUCCGCCCGCGCCCGCACCAGGAGCUCCAGGCCUUCCUCAGCCUUCUGGAGCACAGUUUCCUGCAGGAAUUCCUUUCCAGAGAUCCCUGUUUCCAGAUUUCAGAUAAGUAUCUCCUGGCCAUGGUGCUGGUCUACUUCCGGCGUGCCAACCUGAAGCUCAGCGAGUACACCCACAGCAACUUGUUCUUGGCGCUGUUUCUUGCAAAUGACAUGGAGGAGGAUCUGGAGGACCCUAAAUGUGUGAUUUUUCUGUGGGCCCUGGGAAAAGAUUGGCGUCGUCAGGUGGCAGACUUCCUGCACCAGAGGGAUAAGCUGUGGGCCCGGAUGGGCUUCCGGGCCAUGGUGAGCCGCCAGUGCUGUGAGGAGGUCAUGGCCAAGGAGCCGUCCCAUUGGGCCUGGACUCGAGAGCGGCGUCCCCACCACGGUGGAGCUCAGAGGGGCUGCCCAAAGGCCCGGGUGCCCCUGCCUGGAGGCCCCGGCCUCUCGCCUCCUCACUGUUCCCUCUGUGCCUUGCCCCCUGCCCACGGCCUCUGCAGCCACCAGCCCCGCCCCUUGCCUGUCUUAUCCAAGUGCCCUUCCCCAAACCCUGAGUGCCAUUGCCCUCCCUCCCAAGCUUGUCUCUCAGUGGCCGAAGACCCCUUGGUGGGGGGCUUCCUCAUCAUCCUGCCCCCCCAAAUGCAGCUGGAGCCGGGCACCUACACUCUCCACAAUGGCACCAGUGGCCAGUGGCUCCCCAAUUUGUACUUCUGAGAGCUGUUCCCUCCUCAAGCAUCUCUGCUUGGAGGGAUUGUUCCCAAAGGUCUUCCACUGUCUCCUCAGCUUGCUUUCAGCUCUCUUGCCCUGAGGAGGCCCCAGUGCAACUUUUGUCGCCAGUCCCGAAAUCAUCCGGCACUAGCCACCUCCACCACGCCGCUUACAUUCGAGCCCCAGGAGAUCAAAACUGUAUACCUAAAGUGCACUGGCAGGGAGGCCGGUGCCGUGUCUGCUUGGGCCCCCAAGAUGGGCCCCUUAGGGUCUGUCCCUCAAGAAGAUUGGUAACGACAUCGCCAAAAGAAACUGGUGAUGGCAAGGACUGGGGAUGACAGUGAACAGAUAGGACGCCAUACGGGCGGUGCCUUCUGCCUCUGCCCUGAUCAUCAAACCCCUCAAGAAACCACCCAGAGACAGAAGCAGGAAAACAUGAAGCACGGUGGGAACAUCACUUUGGAUAAUAUUGUCAAGUUACUGGACAGAUACCGCACCCACCUUUAACUAGAGCACUUGGAACCCACUAAAGAGAUCAUGGGGAUUGCCCCAUCUGUGGGAUGCAGUGUGGAUGGCUGUCACCCUCACGACACCAUAGAUGUCAGCAGUGGUGCAGUGGGAUGCCCAGCUACAAAGGAAAAGGUCUCAAGGAAAGAUCGUUUGAUGACUGUCCCUACCAAAGCUAUGAAUAUUCAUACACAAGUCUUUGGACAUGCGCUUUUAUUUCUCUUGGGUAAAAGCCUAGGAGUGGAAUAAUGGGUCAUAUAUGGUAGGUGUAUGUUUUAACUUUUUUCUUUUUUUUAAGAUGGACUAUUUUUUAGAGCCGUUUUUGGUUUACAGAGAAACGGCUCCUUAAAUACCGAGAAUUGGGCACAUACCCCCCUCUUUCUCCCUUACAUUGUUUCUCUUGUUGUUAAUAUCCUACAUUUGUGUGGUAUAAUAUCAUGUAACUAUCAUUGUAGUAUCAUACAGAAGUUUCAGGCCCUCAAGAAGCCCCCAGUUUCAUCUAUUAUCCCUCCCCACCUCCACCAAACUCUUGGCAACCACUGAUCUUUUUUUAACUAUCUCUAGUUCUGUCUUUUACAGAAUGUUACAUAGUUGGAAUCCUACACUACAUAGUUUUUUAAUGGCUUCUUUUUUUUACACGUUUAUUUAUUUUUU